UGGGGAAUAUUGCACAAUGGGCGCAAGCCUGAUGCAGCCAUGCCGCGUGUAUGAAGAAGGCCUUCGGGUUGUAAAGUACUUUCAGCGGGGAGGAAGGGAGUAAAGUUAAUACCUUUGCUCAUUGACGUUACCCGCAGAAGAAGCACCGGCUAACUCCGUGCCAGCAGCCGCGGUAAUACGGAGUGUGCAAGCGUUAAUCGGAAUUACUGGGCGUAAAGCGCACGCAGGCGGUUUGUUAAGUCAGAUGUGAAAUCCCCGGGCUCAACCUGGGAACUGCAUCUGAUACUGGCAAGCUUGAGUCUCGUAGAGGGGGGUAGAAUUCCAGGUGUAGCGGUGAAAUGCGUAGAGAUCUGGAGGAAUACCGGUGGCGAAGGCGGCCCCCUGGACGAAGACUGACGCUCAGGUGCGAAAGCGUGGGGAGCAAACAGG
rnacentral:rRNA from 1 species